UGGGGGUCCCUCUUUGCCCCCCAGAUUUCGUCUCCGUUCUCGACGUCGAUUUCCUGGAGCUGCUGCUGAGCCCCGGCGGGGGGGGGGACGGCGAGGGGGGGGCGCCCCCUCCCCCCUGGGAGCUGCUGGUGGCCCCGGCCCGGCUGCGCGGCCGCACCUGCGCCGACAGCGCCGCCGCCCUGGCGCGGCUGCUGCAGCACCUGGGGACCCCCCCGCGGGCACCGCGACCCCCCCCCGGCACCGGGACCCCCCCCGCGGCCCCGCAGAGACCCCCGGGACACGGGGAGACCCCCGCGGGGGGGGAGCACGCCGCCCCCGCCCCCAUCAACCAACAGGACCUGACGGACGCGCUGAGAGACCCCCCCGGGACCCCCCCCGGGGACCCCCGGAGCGCCGG